rnacentral:sRNA from 1 species
AUGACGCGGCGCCGGGUCGCCGCCGCAGAUUCGACACAAAACCCGGAAGGACCCAGCCGAAGGUUUUCUCCGGUUCGGGCAAGAGACGGGGUCCCGCUCUGUCACCCAGGCUGCCAGACUGGCGUACAGUGGUGCAAUCUCAGCUCACUGCAACCUGCACCUCCUGGGUUCAAGUGAUUUUCUUGUCUCUGCCUCCUGAGUAGCUGGGAUUACUGGCACACACCACCAUGCACUGGGAGACAUGAGACAUCAAUCAAUAUAUGUAAGCUGUACAUCAGUUUCGUCUGGAAAGAUGGGACAACAUGAAGCAGGGAGGGGGCUCCCAGGUCACAGUUGCGGGAAUUUAGCCAAUUCAGAGGUCUUGUUCUCCAUAAUCUGGAACUUUCCUUCAGAUUUGAUCAAGUUGGAUAAAGUUGGUCAAACCCAAUGGGAAAAAGAUGAAAACAACAAGAAACAGAAACAAACAACAACAACAACAACAAAACAGUUAAGUGAAACAAACAAACAAUCACACAAU